GACGAACGCUGGCGGCGUGCCUAAUACAUGCAAGUCGAACGCAGUGGGGACGGGUGAGUAACACGUGGGUAACCUCCCAUCAGAGGGGAUAACACUUGGAAACAGGUGCUAAACCGAUACUGAUGGAUGGACCCGCGGUGCAUUAGCUAGUUGGUGAGGUAACGGCUCACCAAGGCAACGAUGCAUAGUCGACGUGAGAUGGUGAGCGGCCACAAUAGGACGGAUACACGGCCCAGACUCCCACGCGAGGCACGAUUAGGGAAUCUUGCGCAAUGGACUAAAGUCUGACCGAGCAACGCCGCUUGUGUAAGUAAGGUUUUCGGAGCGAACAACUAUGUUGUUAGUGAAGCGGUAUCUAACCAGAAAGCCACGGCUAACUACGUGCCAGCAGCCGCGGUAAUAC
rnacentral:rRNA from 1 species